GUGCUGCUUUUUUUUUCGGAAUCCUACCUGUUUCCUCUGUCUUUAUCCGUCCUUAGUCAGCCCCAAAACGUCCUUCAACAUUCCUUUGCGACCCUCCGGGUCCCCCCACUGCCUCAUCACAGGAAGGAGGCCACCCCGUCCACAAGAGCAAAGGGUGCAAGACGCGAAACAGUGGUGAGAGGCGUCCGUGCGGAAGAAAAGGAAGGCAAUAGCAGAAAUCAGUGCAGAAAGCAUAGGUUGACACCGGAAGCAAGACGGAGGUAACAAGGCUGGUGUCUCAGCAACUGCUACAGAAAGACACACCGAUAUACAUAAAGUUACGGAGCACGCGUGCUAGAGGUUUGCAACGUGCGUGCGCCUUCGUAUCUGCAUCUCUUUGUCUCUGCCUGUGCACGUUUUACUGAGCAGCGCUGCCUGAGUCGGAGUGACGAAGCCCAUCAUAGGGACGCCAUCUUCCUCUUCCCCUCCUCUUCGCAUUCUCGUCGCUGACACGACGAUCACAGAGCCUGCCUACCCACCUACACAUAGCUCACGAGACCCUUCGUCUCGACCGAAAGAAACAAAAAUAGACGCUGAUCAUCGCAUCGUCACCGUUUGAUUUUCUCUCUGUCUGUCCGUCGAGCCUUGAUCGGCUCUCGUGCGAUCCUCCCAUUUUUUCGCAUUUUGUUGCCCCUAACCCUCUCCCUCUCCUCCCUUUCCAACUCUCUGCUCGACAACAGCUACUUCGCGCUGUUGUUUGUGACGCCGCUUUUGCUUUUCUCUUUCCGAGCUCACGCUGCCAGCACGCAAGCCUGAGGGACUGCUUAGACUGAAGUAGGCACCGAAACAAAGGCACUCCCGAAGGUGAACACAGCACGUGUGCGAGUUUGUGGGGCGCUACAGCGAGUGUGAGCGAAAGCUGAAACAGCGCUGGCGUAGUAGCCUGUGACACUCUCUCUGUCCUGACUGACUCCUUCUUUAGCUUCUCCUCCGAGACGCUACCUCUGCGCCCUAAGGCGCCCGCGCACGCACGGGCAUCUUGCGCGCUCCUCUGAGCACCACACCAGCACCAAACAGCGUUGAUAUAUUUUUUGGUUUCUGUCUUUUGCUUGUUUCGUUUGCUUCGUUUUUUUUUCUCUCUUUGGACUCCCGGCGUGUGCGGAUCGACCGGAGCAGAGCAGCGAGGCAUCGCCUCAAAUUCGUUGCGCACGAGCCAACGCCUAAAUAAUGCUGAUACGGGCGAAGGAAACGAAGUAAAAUCGUUCCAAAGAAACCAAACGCCUCCGCUCCUCCUCUCUCUCUCUUUUCUUUUUUUGACUUCGCUGGACUUUCUUUGUGCGUGCUUGCCUGUGUGCUUUCUGUAUUUCAUCUCAAGUGCCUCAGUGCGAGAGGUGGAAAGGCGCGCAGGCAAAGCCAUUGAAGAAAGACGGUAAGGAGAGAGCAAGAAAAAGACUGUGAAACUGAUCUGGUGCUCGUGAAAACCGCUCCGAAUACAUAAGUGCUCGCAAGUUGAGGGAGCGCCUCUGCGUCCUAGCAGUCGAGCUCCUUAGCUCUUUGUGUGUGUGUGUGUGUUCCGGUGCGUGAACCGGAGCUUGAAUUAUCUAACACACAAGUAUCACCUCUUUUUCUAUUCUAAUUCACUUGUUUCGUCUUGCCUGUCGUCAUUUCUCAACGAAGAACAAAGAAAGCCCAAGAGACUGUCGCUGCUCAAGGACUGCACGUUGGAGAGGAAGCGCGGUAAACCGUCUGCCGUGAGUGGGAAGCUCCGCUAAAGUCGAGAGAGGGAACGCAGCACGUAGAGGAAUUUACAGGGCCAAGCGAAAACGAAAAGAACAAGCGGAAACAAGAGCGUCACCGGUUUUUUUUUUUUGUGUAUCGUCCUCGUUCAAGUGAGCGUGGGCGGGGGCGGGGGGUCGUCGUGCUGCUCCACCACGGAAAGCGCCGCGCUCGGCAGCGACUACGAAAACACCGAACCGAAAACCAAAAAGGAAGUAAAGAACGUAGCCGAACUAAAGCACAUAACAAAAAACUAAGAAAAAGCGAAAAAGGGUGUAAGCGACAUUGGGGGAAAAGCGAAAAAACGGUACCCGACACGCACACCCCCACACACACGCAGAGAAAAAUAAGGUCUCAUUUCAGCAGAUACAGGUAUAUAUGCAUACACAGAUAUCCGUAUCCUGCGUCUCCUGUCUGUUUUUUUUUUGGCCUUCCCCCAUCUAGUCCUCUUUCAGUAAUAUUUGGUCUUUUCGUAUGCGCCUCCGUGUCUGUAACCCUUGUUUCGUUUUCCUGUGAAUCACUGGACAGCGGCUCCCUCGUUCUAUUUCUCUAUCGUGUACGCGUGUGUGUCUGUGUGUGGGUGCGUCUCCUCCUCGUUCUUGGGGUUGUCUCUCGCCCCUCGUCAGUCGGCAUAUCCCGGACCCUGACCUCGCUUCGCUCCCGACCAUCACCGCCACGUCACGCCUGUCCAUCUCUUUUUUUCUGUUUUAUUUUGUUCACCUUGUGUCGCUUUCUGCAUCCCUGGCUUGCUAGCGCUCGUGUGCCUUUUUGGUGUUGUUUUCCGUUCUCUCGGUCUCUGUGAUCCUUCUUGGUGAUUUCAUCGCGGCAUUCGGCCUUUAGCUGACACACACACACACACUUCUUUUUCCCCAUCCCUACCCCCUUCCCUCUUCUUCCUCCUCUCCACGAUUCAUCUUCUCACGCAUAAUAAUAUACAUAUAUAGAGAGAGAUAAGCCGCAAAGGCAAGCUCCGAAACGGCGGUGGCUUUUUGCUCCCCUUUUUGUGUGUUUUCGUUUCGUUAGGUUUCACCGUUUUUUUUUUUACCCCGCUCUCCCUCCACUCGUUUUCUCAGCACUUCGACUUGCCGAACGUAAGCAGAGAGGCAGCUUAUCUCUCACACACACAGCCGAAGCGCCACAUCUCAGCCUUUUCUUUGUAUACACCAUUGCACCAUCAGCUCCUCUCUCCGUUUCCCACUCGCUUGUCUCUGUGUGCGUGUGUGUGUGUGUAACGUUGUGCGACGUGUCCUCCUCUCUCUUCUUUCAAACCACUCCUCCCCUCCCCUCAUAUUGUCGCUUCUCGGCACAAUCUGUCUUAUAUUGAUUCUUGGUGGUCUCGGUAUCUUUCCUUUCGCGUGUCUGCUGCGCGCUUGUGCGUUUGUGGGUCGCCUCGUUUUGUUUUCCUUUUCUGUGAAGUAAAUCUCAUUUUGAACGCUUCUUUUCCUGCUUGCGCGUGCUCCUUGCUCGACAACGUAACCCCCCCUCUGUCACUUCCUUUCGUCUUGGCCUGUUUGUGUAUUAUUGUUUUCUUUGUCCGUGGCGGCUAACUGCAGCCUCACCUGUUUUGUCCGCUUGUUUCUCUCUCGCCACGCCACAUCGCCUCGGCUGCGGAUUUCUUUCGCCUUUUCCCUUCUCUAACAUAUCUGUCCACAGAUAUAUCGAUAUCAGUACAUAUAUAUAUAUAUAUAUACAUACACCUACAUCUAUCUAUAUUUCUUUGAGCUUUCUUAGUUUUGGACUUCGGCCGCCGUACCCCCCCCCCCCCAAAAAAAAAAAAACACAGCAAAAAGGAGAAAGAAGAACCGUAACUGCACUUGCUACAUUAUAUAUAUACAUAUACUAUUCAUGUGACUGCGCUUCAGAAGAGUAUUUGCUGUGUCAUCUGUUUUGCUGCUCUCUGUUGCCGCCGCACCAGGUCUCCCCUCCACCUUCUCCUCGAAUCUCUGCCGUCAUUCCGGCACAUACUUUCACCCGCAGCUUUCUUCUUGCGAGCGCUCUCCCCUCAACGUCUCUCUAUUCUGCCACCUUUCUUUUUUUGUGUGUAUGAGUGCGAGUGUGUGUCUGUGCGUGCUCUUCACUUCUAUUGUGUCCUCGCAAGUUUAAUACAGUAUCUGAAGACCUUCUUCCCUCGCUGUGUUUCCACCCUCCCCCCUCCCCACGCCUUAUUCGCUUUUCAUCUUUUUCUGCACGUCUUCUUUUUUCGUACCUGCGUGCGCGCACGUAGCAGGAAGAGGGGGAACCCCACCCCAGACGUUUUCUUUCUUGUAGGCAAACAUUACAUACACCUCCUCCUUCCCCAUCUCUUCCCCCACGGGCUCUCUGUAUCUAUCUCUUUUCUCCAGCCUUGCUUUGGCCGCUGUCACCCCCCUCCCCCGACACACACACACACACACACACACACACACACACAGACAGAACGCCACGCGAGCGUUUCCGCUUCAAUCUAUCGUUGGCCACGGCGUUCAUUACAUUUUUUUCCCGUUGUGCAGCGCCCUCUCUCUCUCCAUUUUCUCCUUUGUUGUUUUCACCUACACAUAUUACUUCGUAACUCUCUAUAUCUGUUCGCCGUGCUUCCUGGCUAUACACGCGCUGGAAUCAGUCAACGAACCCCCUACCUCUCUCCUCCUCUUGUUACCGUUUCGCUCCCGCGGACGCUCGUGCCGGGCGUCUUUUGCCUGUCGUCGUUCAGCUGCUCUGCGCUGCUUGUUUGCUCUGCCCUCGUGCAGCAGAGGUCACCUCUUUCCUUCCCGUUCCCUCCUCCUCUCUCCUCAGUGCCCACCACAGCAUAUAUACAGGUGCGCACAAGCGGCGUCCCUUUCUUCCCCUGUUUCGUUAUUUUUCUUUUUUUUUUGGUGAGUGAGGACCACACGGACCUUGACAUCUUUUCUUCUUGUUGUCCUUGAGCUCACGCACACCUAUACACCUAAGCUUGUGUGUCUGUGUUUGUGUGUGCCCCGAGCUUCUCCUCUCCCUGCUGUGGCCUCGCUCAGAUCAGUACACUUGCGUCUUCCUCGAUCUAUACCCGUCUAUCACACGCACGUGGAAUCGCCUCACACACCUCCUGCUCCUCUGCGUCUGUUUCUGUGUAGUUCUGCCCCCCCCCCCCUUCCUCCCUUCCUCCCUCCUCUAUAUAAUAUAGUAUCAGUAGGAGUAGUUGUGUACGCUCAUUCGCAUCAUUUUAGGUGCGGACAAACAACAAAAAAGCUAAGGUGUUUCGCCUUCGUGUUUUUUCUUUUCUCAUUACUAUUAUCCUUAUUCAUCGUUUGUAUCCGUCCCACCUUCCUCCUCUCCACCAUUCCACUGUCUCCUGUACUCAUACACAUGCCAUCUUCGCACCAGCUGUCGCAGCGGCACGAGUUCGUCACAAAGCCACUGCUGCUGUCGCCCGUGUCGUGUACGAGUCUCAGCGACUGCGCACGGGGGUGGACGGACGACGCGGGUGGUGUGACGCGCUCUUCGUUGACGCAGGAGAGUCUGCACCAUGACUCCUCCAGCCGCACAUGGUCCUCGUCCUUGUCGGCGAGUGUGAGCGGGAUGCUUCUGCAAUCGCUGUCCUGGAUGCAUGCACCGCCGUCUCUCUCCACGUCUCCUGUGGAGAACAGAGCAGCCGCAGUCGCGAUUGCAGCGUCGGCGUCCACGGCUGCUGGUGAUGGGUGCCAGAUACUGCCCAUGGAUGUGUUCGACGUAGCGUUGGCACAGGAUAUUCAGCAGCGCCGUGUGCAGGCGCAUCGCCGCCGCCACUCGAAGAGAACUGAUGUGCUCAAAGUUGAAUCAACUCGAGAUGCAGCGGCGGGCGCUGUGCCGCUGCCUAACGCCUCCGCCAAGGCGACCCCAGGCGCUUCCUUCACUGUAUUUUCUAGGAUGGAGGAUGCGUCGCGGCUGCCCAACUGCUCCCAACAGUUGCCAAAGCCCGUCUCAACUCGUGAAGAGGCCGCUGCUUCUGUCAUGCAUCCGCUGGCGAGUGCAACGGAUAUACACCAGAUGUGUGCUCUACCGGAGCACCAGCAGGGGCAGCCUAAGUCUCCCGCCUUAGCACUGUCAUUCUUCUCCUCCUCCUCCGGCGACCAGCAGCUUCGAAGCGCUGGCGGCAGUUUCUCGUCCUCUGCAGCGUCUUUCUCCAAGUGCAAUGAAAAGAUGCAGCGCUUGCGGGCAUUACUGAGCGAAACACGCACGCUGCAUGAAGCGCUGUCUCAGCAACUGUGUGAGCUGCAACAGGUGGAGGAAAAAGAGCAGCGCCGCAGAGCAGGCAGAGCGCUCGCUCGGCGACCGUGGUAGAGCCCAUAGGGGAACUCACCACCGGUGAAGUGACGGCACCACUGCGGAGAGUCGCAUCGCUUUUCAUAGCUGCACCACGAGAAGAAACAUAAACGCGUGUACAGGUCUGAAGAACGCCGAGGGAGUCGAGGAAUCGAUCCUGUAUCUCUGUCUCUGCUGCUCUCUUCGUGCCGAGCUGUGCCUGCUCCUCAACAGCUAUGUCCGAGAUGUGCGAGACUCUAGCGCGUUGAUCUGCCUCCCACCACCUUUUCCAGCCGUGUGCCAGCGCAUGCGUCAACCUGGCGUAUGGGUGCGUACAUGAUCGCUCAUCGUUUCGUUCGAUUCUCUUCCCUUUCCGCGUGUGCCGUUGCGUUUUUUUCUUCGUUCUUCCGCUACUCUUCUUUUUUCUUUUCGCCCCUCAUCGUCCGUCUUCUGCAUCGGGCUUCCUUCCUGGAAUCACGACCUGAUCUAUUCACCCCCCUUCCACCACACGUCUUUACUCUUAUGUGUCUAUCCCUGGCGCGCCCUCUUUCUAUGUGUGCCUGUGUGUUUUGCAUGUGCACCUGCGUGUACGAGGGCGGCUUCACGGAUUGCACGUCGCCGGCCUUUACCCCCUUCCCCCCCUCCCCCUCUGCUUUCCUCACGUGCGGGCGUGUGUGUCUUGCUUGACUAUCCCGGCGUUCGCCUGCAAGAGAAACCUUUCCUCCCUCCCCAAAGAAGAAACGGAAAGGGGCUGUACUCCCUUCGCUCGAUGUAAACGUGUGCCAUUUUAUGUUCUCUUUCUUACUAUUUCACCUCGACCUCUUCGCACGAGUGCCGGGUGGGGGAGGGCGCGCGUGUACGUUCUCGCGCACGUGCAUGCCUGGCUGACACUUUUCUUUUUCUUCUUUGCGUUUAUGGUGAUGCGUCGUCGACGUUCGUUUUCGGCGUGCUCUGGCUCACCAAGCCUUUAUUGUCAUGAUUGUGCUUCUUCAUCUUUUUGUUUGCUGUAGAUAAGACUUCCCGAUGACGACCUGCUCACGUAGGUUGUCGUCUGUGCUUUCCGCUUGUGCCCGUCUGCGCCUGUGUGUCGAUGUGCGUUGGAGUAUGCCUUUACGAUGGAGUACAGCUACAAGCUCCUCAGAGCUGCGUGGCCGCCCAGGAGGGUGCCAUCGCGUGAUGUGGACGUCUUUUUUUUUGAAGGGGUUCCUCGUUAUAGUCGCUGCUUUUGGUUUCCGUCUUUCGUCGGGGCUUCGGCUCUCCCCGGCUUCGUUUUUCCUCGAGUCCACUGUGCCGCUCUUCCCUUUCUGUGUUGUGUAUUUCUUUUUUCUUUGCCGUUGCCGAGCGAUUCUAUAGGGCGUUCGUCGGCGGCGUCCACCAGACUUUCACCCGCGCGAACCACUACACGGACUCUCAUGAAUACUUCAACACACGCACACGCGCACGAAUGUGCACGCGUGCGUUUUUCUUCUAUCUUAGCCGAUCUCUCUUUUUGUUUUUUUUUUUUCUCUGUUUCUUUCUUUACGCGUCAACCUGCGCCGAUGCCACUGGGUUGGAGUUGUGGAACGCUGGCGUCUGCCACUGAGCCCUCAGUGAGACGAUGGAGGUGGUAGAGCCAAAAAGGGGAGCGCGCACAUCGCUCUCUUUUCCCUCGUCUGCUCUCUUUUUCGUUUGUUGGCGUGCUGCGCUGCCUUCGCUUUCUUCUCCUGUAUGCAGCGUGUCCGUCUCUCUGCCAUAGCGGGCAUCCGCUCAACUGCCACUCGACCUCCUCCCCCGGGCCUCUCACAGGCUCCACAUCGCGUGGUGCGAAGAAGCCCUAAACACGCACGCGUUACAGCACAACGCGCAGAUUCAGCUAUCUGAACAUGGUCUCUGCUUCAAACGCUGCCCACCACACCAGUGGGCAGUGCGAGGGCCGAGCGGGGUGGAUACGCUCGAGUUACACCGGCACCAUCGGCUAUUAUAUGGAUGUCACGAGCGCGUUCGCUGUCGCAGACCGCUCUGACGUCACUCCGCCCUGAAAUAGGCCCUAUGGUACGAGAAUGCGAGCACGGUGCGCAGGCGCUGCCAUGCACAGCUGGCACGGUGUUCUGCAUCGAAGCGAAGAGCCCAGAGCUGAGAAGGGCAAGAGUGACCGGCGAGCGAGGCGCGAGGAGACCCGCACCAAUCAGCCCCCCGUGCAUGUGUGCGAAGUAUGCAGCAUCACCUGCGUCCGACCGUGUGGGCUGAUGAGGCACCGGUGCUGGGAGCAUGGCGAGAACACGCCGACGCACAGCAUCGGGCCCCCCAGACUCCAACGUAACGAGUGUCCACACCGUCUUGUGGAAUGCCGCGGCUUGAAGCGAUUCAGAGGGAGCAGCAUGGUGCACAGGCAGAGCGCAGGGUCUCCGCGGUCCCUGGCCUGAAGCUGGCCGACUUCCUCCUUGGGCUCGUCCGGCAUGCGCCCGGGCCAACCACUGCUACCCGCCCGACAGACGCCGCCGCUGGUGCCGCUCGAGCAGGGCUCUGAGCGCGGCCCGCUUGGAUGGCGGCGUGCAGCGCACGCGCGACGAAGGGAUGCGGAGGGACGAGACGAGCCCGUCAGCCGCAGCGCGACCGCGGGGGGUGGACUGUGGCUGUGUAGGCGCAUGCUUUGGCUGGCUUGUCUGUGACAGUAAUGGCCACGCCGGCCUUGCACGGGGGGGGCAUACCGUUUCUCUUGGCGCCGUCUGCGCAGCGGUGCGUGCGGCAACGCUUUGGUGUGCGCGCCCGUGUUCGUGGUUGUGGAUGCCUUGUGCCGUGUCUCGUGUAUUUUUUUCUUGCCUCUCAUCUCUCUCUCUCUGUUUGACUCCCCAUACGUCCCAGCUGCGGGUGAAUUUCCUGUCAUCUUCUCAGCAGAGCGACGAUCAGGGGGAAUCUGUCGUCGGUGUGGCGGCUGUGCUGAUGGGGGGGGGCAGUGGCGACAUUGAAUGGCCGCCGCUUCAUACAAGCAUUUAUGUAUAUAUCUAUUUCUAUGUGUACCUCAGAUCCUUCGUUCUCCCUCUGUCUUGUUGUUCGUGCCCUUUUUUUUUUGGGAGUUUCGGUUUUGCACCCUCUCUGGGGUAUGCGCGGGCGAACAAGGAGGAGAGAAGCGGUGCUUGCUCUCCUGGGAAAGGCAUCUCGCACAGCCAUCCCCCCUCAACUCGUCGUCUUGGUUUCGCUCCCGUCUCGGUCUCUCUGUGCCAGCUUGUCUGGAUGCUCCUCCCUAGCCCAAGCCCUAACCCACUCAUUAUGGCGCCCAGAGCCGAGCAGGUGCACAUGCACCCCAAGCACGGAGAGCGUGCUGAGACUUCAUUGUGGUUACCUUUUUUAUUCAAUGCGGGCGCCGUGCCACUCACCUCGUCAGUGCAUCUCGCCGUUUCUUGUCUUUCUGCUGAUGGCUUUCUAUGUGUGUGCACGUAUGCGUGUGCCUGUGGUCCGUCACCCUCUUCUUGCCGGUCGGUGGCUUUAUUUUUGCUUCGCCUUAGGUUUGUCGCUUCGCUCAGUUGGAUUCCACGCUACGGGGACGUAUGUCGGCGACGAGUCCGUCCGCGCGGUGUAUGCCUUUCUUACUUGCUUUUCCAUGCUCCUCGUCACGCUAUCUCCUCUCGUUUUUGUGUUUCCGGUGGCGUGCAUGUCCUGAUAGCCGAGCUGGGGGUGCCACGCAGCGUGUGGCAUCUCAAGGUUCAGCGCAUCCCACACUCUGUAUGGGGUUGGCAGAGCAGUUUAUUGCUGCAGAUAUCGGCUUUCAGGCCCUGGGUAGCGCUGCGCCAGAGAGACCUGCGACAGCGAACACGUGUACGCCAUGCAUAUGAUGGGCAGCGUGUCAGCGUGACUCGAGCGCAUCCCACCCCCGACCCUCGCUGCCUACAGCCGUGUAACCUCAUCCGUCGCGAGGGAUGCGCCGCAUUGCGACCGGCACAAUGGGCGCGGCUGUGAGGCGACCUGCGGGGCGUCGGGUGGGUGGAGUAGCGUUCGGGGCAGAGACCGUGCUUAGAGAGCUGAAGCGGAAAAUCUGUAGCGCGUGUGCCUAGCGCCGCUUGGCGGCACGCGGUGAGGCCUGCCAGAACCCGGGGGGAGAUCAAGUGGAGCUCGACCUCAUGCUGUAUGGCAGAGAAAUGGACACGGCGGCACGAAAAGGAAAGAAGUUCCUCGGUGGAAUCGGCAGUGGUAGCGGGGGCGUGUCCUUUUAGGAGCUGCGCAGUUUUGUGAACGUUGUUUGCCUACUCCCAUGUGCGUGUGCGUGUGGUCGUGCUUGCCGUGUGGGGAGCUCCUUCCUCGGCUUUCUCUCUCUGCCAAGGAUGUGCGGUUGCAGCCGCGCCUUAGUUUGGCACACGAGGGCACAAGCAUACAUUGGCACUGAUAUACAGGACCACGUGGAUCUUUCGGGGGAUUGCCUGCAUGUAAGUAUUAGUCUUCGUCUUCGAAGGUUGUGCUUCUCACACCUCUUCACGGUCACUCGCGUUCGCUUGUGUCUUCUCUCUCCUUUAGUAGUAGUAGCAUGUUUUGUUGUCAGCGCGUUCUCCGCCUCCCAUCAACGAUCUAUCUGUUUCUGCACCCUUCCUUCCUCUUCUUUUCCGUCUCUCUGUAUCUCGAUUUCUUUUGCGUCUGGGCUCAACGACAGUCGGAGAGGGAUUGAGGAGUGCGCGUGUCGGUGUCGAUGCCGAUAUGGGAAGCGCAUGCAAUAGGAGUAACGGCCAAAGAAAAGAAGAAAAAAGCGAAGCCACCCCCCUCCCCCCGUACGUGACGGCGACAGAUGGUGGUAGCCUGACGACAACCACUGUGUCUGCCACGGUCUAACGGGGGAACACCAACGACGGGAAUGGCCGGGCUUCAACCUCGAAGGCUGUGUGGACAAGGAGCUUCACAUUGCUCGCUGAAGCACCUUUCUCUUGCAUCUUCGCUGUGCAGAGAAGGAGCGUGCCAGCAGCGGUUUUUCUGUUCGAUGGGUGUCGCUUGCGCACUGUGACGGCAAACAAAAAACAGGAAGCCAUGGGCUGCAGAAUGCUUUCACGCUUUCUGUCUGUGCGCCCAGCUCGGCCUCGCGUGCUCUCAGUCAGGUGCUUCUCUCACACUGCGUGAACGGCUCGCGCAGAGAGGCGCAAGGACUGGAGGGCGGCGCCUUUUCUGUUC
rnacentral:misc_RNA from 1 species